CUCCGGUUGAUCCCGCCGGACCCGACUGCUAUCAGAGUGGGACUAAGCCAUGCGAGUCGACGUAGCAAUGCGUGGCGAACGGCUCAGUAACACGUAGUCAACAUGCCCAGGGGACGUGGAUAACCUCGGGAAACUGAGAAUAAACCACGAUAGGUCACGAUUUCUGGAAUGGAUCAUGGCCUAAAUCUACAUGGCCCCUGGAUUGGACUGCGGCCGAUCAGGCUGUUGGUGAGGUAAUGGCCCACCAAACCUAUAACCGGUACGGGCUCUGAGAGGAGAAGCCCGGAGAUGGGCACUGAGACAAGGGCCCAGGCCCUAUGGGGCGCAGCAGGCGCGAAACCUCUGCAAUAGGCGAAAGCCUGACAGGGUUACUCUGAGUGAUUUCCGCUAAGGGGAUCUUUUGGCACCUCUAAAAAUGGUGCAGAAUAAGGGGUGGGCAAGUCUGGUGUCAGCCGCCGCGGUAAUACCAGCACCCCGAGUGGUCGGGACGAUUAUUGGGCCUAAAGCAUCCGUAGCCGGUUCUGCAAGUCUUCCGUUAAAUCCAGCCGCUCAACGGAUGGGCCGCGGAGGAUACUACAGGACUAGGAGGCGGGAGAGGCAAGCGGUACUCAGUGGGUAGGGGUAAAAUCCUUUGAUCCAUUGAAGACCACCAGUGGCGAAGGCGGCUUGCCAGAACGCGCUCGACGGUGAGGGAUGAAAGCUGGGGGAGCAAACCGGAUUAGAUACCCGGGUAGUCCCAGCUGUAAACGAUGCAGACUCGGUGAUGGGCUAGCCUUGUGCCAGCCCAGUGCCGCAGGGAAGCCGUUAAGUCUGCCGCCUGGGGAGUACGGUCGCAAGACUGAAACUUAAAGGAAUUGGCGGGGGAGCA
rnacentral:rRNA from 1 species